AGUCAAGUAAUUAAGUGCAUGUGGUGGAUGCCUUGGCAGUCAGAGGCGAUGAAAGACGUGAUAGCCUGCGAAAAGCUCCGGGGAGGCGGCAAAUAUCCUUUGAUCCGGAGAUGUCUGAAUGGGGGAACCCACCUACUUUAAGGUAGGUAUUGCAACAUGAAUACAUAGUGUUGCAAGGCGAACGAGGGGAAGUGAAACAUCUCAGUACCCUUAGGAAAAGAAAUCAAUUGAGAUUCCCUCAGUAGCGGCGAGCGAACGGGGAUCAGCCCAUUAAGUUAUGUGUGUUUUAGUGGAACGCUCUGGGAAGUGCGAACGUAGAGGGUGAUAUUCCCGUACACGAAAGGGCACACAUAAUGAUGACGAGUAGGGCGAGGCACGUGAAACCUUGUCUGAAUAUGGGGGGACCAUCCUCCAAGGCUAAAUACUCCUGACUGACCGAUAGUGAACCAGUACCGUGAGGGAAAGGCGAAAAGAACCCCUGUGAGGGGAGUGAAAUAGAUCCUGAAACCGCAUGCAUACAAGCAGUGGGAGCACCUUUGUGGUGUGACUGCGUACCUUUUGUAUAAUGGGUCAGCGACUUAUAUUCAGUAGCAAGGUUAACCGUAUAGGGGAGCCGUAGAGAAAUCGAGUCUUAAUAGGGCGUUUAGUUGCUGGGUAUAGACCCGAAACCAGGCGAUCUAUCCAUGAGCAGGUUGAAGGUUGGGUAACACUAACUGGAGGACCGAACCCACUGUCGUUGAAAAGCCAGGGGAUGACUUGUGGAUAGGGGUGAAAGGCUAAUCAAGCCUGGUGAUAGCUGGUUCUCCCCGAAAGCUAUUUAGGUAGCGCCUCGGACGAAUACCAUAGGGGGUAGAGCACUGUUUCGGCUAGGGGGUCAUCCCGACUUACCAAACCGAUGCAAACUCCGAAUACCUAUGAGUACUAUCCGGGAGACAGACUGCGGGUGCUAACGUCCGUAGUCAAGAGGAAAACAAUCCAGACCGCCAGCUAAGGCCCCAAAAUCAUAGUUAAGUGGGAAACGAUGUGGGAAGGCAUAGACAGCUAGGAGGUUGGCUUAGAAGCAGCCACCCUUUAAAGAAAGCGUAAUAGCUCACUAGUCGAGUCGGCCUGCGCGGAAGAUGUAACGGGGCUAAAACUAUGUGCCGAAGCUGCGGAUGUAUACUUUGUAUACGUGGUAGGGGAGCGUUCUGUAAGCCGAUGAAGGUGUGUUGAGAAGCAUGCUGGAGGUAUCAGAAGUGCGAAUGCUGACGUGAGUAACGACAAAACGGGUGAAAAACCCGUUCGCCGAAAGACCAAGGGUUCCAGUCCAACGUUAAUCGGGGCUGGGUGAGUCGACCCCUAAGGCGAGGCCGAAAGGCGUAGUCGAUGGGAAAAUGGUUAAUAUUCCAUUACUUCUGUGUAAUGCGAUGAGAGGACGGAGAAGGCUAAAUCAGCCUGGCGUUGGUUGUCCAGGUGAAAGGAUGUAGGCAUGUAUCUUAGGCAAAUCCGGGGUACUCUAUGCUGAGAUCUGAUAGCAAGCUGUACUUGUACAGCGAAGUGGUUGAUGCCAUGCUUCCAGGAAAAGUCUCUAAGCUUCAGUUACACAGGAAUCGUACCCGAAACCGACACAGGUGGUCAGGUCGAGUAGACCAAGGCGCUUGAGAGAACUCUGCUGAAGGAACUAGGCAAAAUGGUACCGUAACUUCGGGAGAAGGUACGCUGUUGUUGGUGAUGGAACUCGCUUCCUGAGCUGACGACAGCCGCAGAAACCAGGCCGCUGCAACUGUUUAUUAAAAACAUAGCACUCUGCAAACACGAAAGUGGACGUAUAGGGUGUGAUGCCUGCCCGGUGCUGGAAGGUUAAUUGAUGGGGUUAGCGUAAGCGAAGCUCUUGAUCGAAGCCCCAGUAAACGGCGGCCGUAACUAUAACGGUCCUAAGGUAGCGAAAUUCCUUGUCGGGUAAGUUCCGACCUGCACGAAUGGCAUAAUGAUGGCGGCGCUGUCUCCAGCAGAGGCUCAGUGAAAUCGAAAUCGCUGUGAAGAUGCAGUGUACCCGCGGCUAGACGGAAAGACCCCGUGAACCUUUACUGCAGCUUGACACUGAACUUUGACCUUACUUGUGUAGGAUAGGUGGGAGGCUUUGAAGCUGGAACGCUAGUUCCAGUGGAGCCGUCCUUGAAAUACCACCCUGGUAAUGUUGAGGUUCUAACUCUGUCCCGUGAUCCGGGACGAGGACCGUGUCUGGUGGGUAGUUUGACUGGGGCGGUCUCCUCCUAAAGAGUAACGGAGGAGUACGAAGGUGCGCUCAGCGUGGUCGGAAAUCACGCGUAGAGUAUAAAGGCAAAAGCGCGCUUAACUGCGAGACCCACAAGUCGAGCAGGUACGAAAGUAGGUCUUAGUGAUCCGGUGGUUCUGUAUGGAAGGGCCAUCGCUCAACGGAUAAAAGGUACUCUGGGGAUAACAGGCUGAUACCGCCCAAGAGUUCAUAUCGACGGCGGUGUUUGGCACCUCGAUGUCGGCUCAUCUCAUCCUGGGGCUGAAGCAGGUCCCAAGGGUAUGGCUGUUCGCCAUUUAAAGAGGUACGCGAGCUGGGUUUAGAACGUCGUGAGACAGUUCGGUCCCUAUCUACCGUGGGCGCUGGAAAUUUGAGAGGAUCUGCUCCUAGUACGAGAGGACCAGAGUGGACGAACCUCUGGUGUACCGGUUGUGACGCCAGUCGCAUCGCCGGGUAGCUAUGUUCGGAAGGGAUAACCGCUGAAAGCAUCUAAGCGGGAAGCCUACCUCAAGAUAAGAUUUCCCUAGGACUUUAUGUCCUCUAAAGAGCCGUUCGAGACUAGGACGUUGAUAGGUUGGAUGUGGAAGCAUAGUGAUAUGUGAAGCUGACCAAUACUAAUUGCUCGUGAGGCUUGACUAU
rnacentral:rRNA from 1 species